rnacentral:rRNA from 1 species
GACGAACGCUGGCGGCGUGCUUAACACAUGCAAGUCGAACGGAAAGGCCCUGCGUUUGUGGGGUGCUCGAGUGGCGAACGGGUGAGUAACACGUGAGUAACCUGCCCUUGAAUUUGGGAUAACUUCAGGAAACUGGGGCUAAUAUCGGAUAGGAGCUAUUGCUGCAUGGUGGGGGUUGGAAAGUGUCGGCGGUGUGGGCUGGACUCGCGGCUUAUCAGCUUGUUGGUGGGGUAGUGGAUGACCAAGGCUUUGACGGGUAGCCGGCAUGAGAGGUUGACCAGCGACAUGGGUACUGAGGGACGGCCCAGACUCCUACGGGGGGCAGCAGUGGGGAACAUUGCGCAGUGGGGCGAAGCCUGAUGCGACAAAUCCGCGUGCGGAAUGACGGGCUUUGGGUUGGAAACCACUUUCUCCUGUGCCGAAGCGGGCGUGACGGUAAUUGGUAAAGAAGCACCGGCUAACUACGUG